rnacentral:rRNA from 1 species
GGUUGAUCCUGCCAGUAGUCAUAUGCUCAUUUCGAAGACUAAGCCAUGCAUGUCUAAGUAUAAGUUGUUAUACAGCGAAACUGCGAAUAGCUCAUUAAAACAAUUAUAGUCUAUGUGGGCAUAAUUACUACACGGAUACCUGUGGUAAUUCUGGAGCUAAUACGUGACUCAACAUCCGUUUGGAUGUCACUUAUUAGAUUAAAGCUUUCCCUAUGGAAACAUAGGAGUUUGGUGAUCCAUAAUAAGGUCGUGAAUCGCAUGGCUUAGGCCGGUGAUAUUCCACCUGAGUUUUU